UCAAUUAAAUUAUAUGAUGAGGAACUGC
rnacentral:sRNA from 1 species